rnacentral:lncRNA from 1 species
AUGUUUCCCAAACCAAGCACAACCUCUCCGCUCACAGACCUGUCACGGGCUAGGGUAGAGUCGCUACCAAUCCCCUCCGCACCGCCUUCUCAGCACGAGAGCGGGGACCAACCAGCAGUGAGGACUUCAUCAUUACACGGCGGCUCAGAGAGCUCAGCGAAUGCGCGCUCUGCCUUCAAAAGGCGCCUUCUCCCUGCUGUGACUGCUGCAAAUCUGCACAAUGACGAUUUGCCGCAUUUAUUACAACCACCAAAACGAGCUGUCAUCUAUGAUCACCGCCCGUCUGCGCAUGCUUCGGAGCUUUUCCCACUCUCGCGCACUGGGGUUCCUCCGCAUGCGCCUGACGCGCAGCAGCGCUCUCCACGCUCGCCGGCACCACACAAACAACCUUGUCCGUUUGUGAGGGAACCGACGUCGACUGAGACACAACUCCACGACCGGCCCUUUCCCAGCCGGCUCCCCAUGGGUCACUCCCGAUAUUCCUUCGGGUCAAGCAAUGGCGGUAGGGGCCCAGACCCACAUUUUGGACGCGUUGCAGGCCCAGGCGCCGUGCACGCGCCCACUGUCAGAGCACGCCCACGACUGGAGCUGCGUGUGCCACAUGACCAAGUGGAUUCGGGACAUCAUUCGCAGUGCCCACAGGCUGCAGUUUCAGUCCCUCCCACCCCUGUUCUCAGGGAUUGUGGAGACGACAUUGACGUCAGCCCCUCAUGCUGCCGCCCUCAAGGCGGAGUUGAGGGAACUCCUGUCGAAAGAGGCCAUCUCCGAGGUUUCGCCAGGGGAGGAGAACACAGGUUUCUACUCCCGUUAUUUCCUGGUUCCCAAGAAAAAUGGUGGCUGCAGACGGAUCCUCGAUCCGUCUCUGUUCAACAUCUUCGUAGCAGUGAAGCAUUUCCGGAUGCUCACGAUCAAACAGGUGUUGGAGUACGUGCGCCCAGGCGAUUGGUUAACGUCCAUAGACCUGAGGGAUGCAUACUUCCACGUUCCGAUUGUUCCGAAGCACCGGAAAUUGCUGCGCUUCUCAGUCAGCGGGACUCAGUAUCAGUACAACAUACUCCCGUUCGGAUACUCCCUAGCCCCACGCACCUUCUCCAAGUGCCUGGCGACAGCGCUGCAGCUGUUACGUACGGCGGGCUUGAGAAUCCUGUUCUAUUUAGAUGA